rnacentral:lncRNA from 1 species
GUUUCUAUGUUUAGGGUUUGGGCAAACUGGUGUUUUCACUCUCAGGGGCUAGCUCCAUUUGUCUGGCCACUUUUCUGACUACAGUGUUGGGUACUGAACCUUUACAACAAGGCUGUGAGGGCUGAGCACUCAGAGGCAGAGGCUGGGGGAUCCCUGAGUUCAAGGCUACCCAGGGCUACACAGAAGGGCACCUGCUGCCCUAGCCCUCACCUGGUUCCCCAGCAUCCCAGACAACAGUCCCCUGUGUGGCUCCUGGUGUGAUGUGCACUAGGCCCAGAAGGACACGGAGAGAAUGUGCACAGCCUUGUCCCGGCGCUGGAAAACAGAAGCUAACCUGUAAGCAAUUAGAGGAUGUUUUCAGCUAGUGAGGAAGACUUAGCUUUUAAAAAGUAAAAAGCAGGAACAGGAAUAUGCCACCACACCUUGCUGGGAGCAGGGAUAACACGCCCAAAGAAAAGGGAUGGGCCGGGUCACUGAUCCUCACAAGGCCUGAAGAAGAGGUGGGACUCAUCACGAGGCCACAAAGAAAUACACAUUUUUUUUUUCUGGAGGUGGAUUUUCUGUUUGCUGAACAGAGCAGAUGGCUGUGCUUGAGAGGGGAAAGGAAAUUGCUAACCCUGUCCCCUGGCAUAGAAGAAAAAAUUGACGAAGUCACCAGGCUGGGCUCCAGCCCCUCUUCUGCAGCCUCAGCAGAUUUCUCUGCUGACACUCUGCCAUCAGA